rnacentral:lncRNA from 1 species
GACUCCAGCGAAACUGCUUCGCUUCUUCCUGCCGGCUCCGUUCCAGUAGCCCAGCCCGCGGCCUUCAUCUGGCCGUGCGAAGUCCACGAAGCCCAGCGUUGUGGACCCUUUUUCAACAGCAAUUCAGGCCCAAAUUUCAGCCCAAGAACCAGCCCAUCAUCAAUUGGAUUUGAAGCCCAGCAGUUUCAGUCUUUCGGGCCCAGCAAAGACAGGCCCAAUUUAGUUUUAUU